AGAGUUUGAUCAUGGCUCAGGAUGAACGCUAGCGGCAGGCUUAAUACAUGCAAGUCGAGGGGCAACAUGUCCCGCAGCAAUGCGGGAUGAUGGCGACCGGCAAACGGGUGCGGAACACGUACACAACCUUCCUUUAAGUGGGGAAUAGCCCAGAGAAAUUUGGAUUAAUACCCCGUAAUAUAUAGAAGUGGCAUCACUUUUAUCUUAUAGCUCCGGCGCUUAAUGAUGGGUGUGCGGCUGAUUAGAUAGUUGGCGGGGUAACGGCCCACCAAGUCUGCGAUCAGUAACUGGUCUGAGAGGAUGGCCAGCCACAUUGGGACUGAGAUACGGCCCAGACUCCUACGGGAGGCAGCAGUGGGGAAUCUUGCGCAAUGGCCUAACGGCUGACGCAGCGACGCCGCGUGAGGGAUGACGCUCUUCGGAGCGUAAACCUCUUUUGCCCGGGACGAAUUGCCAACAUCAGUUGGCUUGACGGUACCGGGUGAAUAAGCACCGGCUAACUCCGUGCCAGCCGCCGCGGUAAUAC
rnacentral:rRNA from 1 species